rnacentral:lncRNA from 1 species
UUGGAAAAAUCUCAGUGGCCCCAGUGACUAAAAGCACAACAUCACAACAAGAACAACACAGUAAAAUCCCAUAGUGGGGUAUAUUUCGGUGUAAAAACGUAUGUGUAACAAUUGUUCUCGAGUUUACAAUUCCAGUUUUCUUCAACUUUUCCAUACUUUAUCCAAAGAGAUCUUUACUGUUCAAAAUAAAUUAGAAUCAACAGUCAGAAUACCAGCAAAAGAGAUUAAACUAAGAAUAUAAUCUAUCAAUUUUUUGCCUUCAUAAGCUGAAACCCCCAGUACCUAUUUAUUCUCACUUGAGCAUAUCUCAUAGGUUAAUAGAAGAACUAAGUUAGGUUCUUCCAGAGCACCAUUAUUCGAACCCAACCUAUAAACACUAACAAACAAAGCAAAGCUAAUCAAUAUAAUACAAAUGAACUUUAGCCCGAUACAAAAAUUCAAAAUCAAUCAAAAUUUACAACAUACGUAAUUAAAUAAAAUAUCUACAUAAAUGCAUCAAAUUAAAGGAGGAAUCAAGCAAUUGAAAGCUAGAAGAGAUUUACGUUGGCCGACGGAGAAAACAAAGGGAGAGAUAGAUAUUUAACUGGCGAAAGAAGAAGAAGAAAUAGUUGAAGGGAGGUGUCGUAACGGAAGAG